rnacentral:rRNA from 1 species
CCUACGGGGUGCUGCAGUGGGGAAUAUUGGACAAUGGGCGAAAGCCUGAUCCAGCCAUGCCGCGUGUGUGAAGAAGGCCUUCGGGUUGUAAAGCACUUUCAGUGGGGAAGAAAGCCUUGGGGCUAAUACCCUCGAGGAAGGACAUCACCCACAGAAGAAGCACCGGCUAACUCCGUGCCAGCAGCCGCGGUAAUACGGAGGGUGCGAGCGUUAAUCGGAAUUACUGGGCGUAAAGCGCGCGUAGGCGGUCUGAUAAGCCGGUUGGGAAAGCCCCGGGCUCAACCUGGGAACGGCAUCCGGAACUGUCAGGCUAGAGUGAAGGAGAGGAAGGUAGAAUUCCCGGUGUAGCGGUGAAAUGCGUAGAGAUCGGGAGGAAUACCAGUGGCGAAGGCGGCCUUCUGGACUGACACUGACGCUGAGGUGCGAAAGCGUGGGUAGCAAACAGGAUUAGAUACCCCGGUAGUC